UACAGAGGUCCCAAGCGUUGUUCGGAUUCACUGGGCGUAAAGGGUGCGUAGGCGGUCGGGUAAGUCUGAUGUGAAAGCUCGGAGCUUAACUCCGAAAUGGCAUCGGAUACUAUUCGGCUCGAGGAAUGGAGGGGAGACUGGAAUGCUCGGUGUAGCAGUGAAAUGCGUAGAUAUCGAGCGGAACACCAGUGGCGAAGGCGAGUCUCUGGACAGUUCCUGACACUGAGGCACGAAGGCCAGGGGAGCAAACGGG
rnacentral:rRNA from 1 species